GAGUAUGGCUCAAGCGAUUACAAAAGGAACAUUAAGGGCGAUUACUAGAUCCACGACCCUCUCUACCACCACUACGAUCACGGCCUUGGCCUCCACGGUUAGCCGUGUUAGAGAUAAAGGCUGAAGAUUCUGAGACUGUUUGGAAACCAACUCUGGAUGCUGCCUCCGGAGAAGAGAAAGUAAAGGAAAUAAGGCCCUUCUUCAAAUCUGAUGCGGAAGCCAUGAGAGAAUGAUUUUACUGAACAGAUCCUAUGACGAGAUGAUGAUCAAAAACAGCGGCAGAACAGCGAAAACUAAAACAGGGGCAGGAACGUAAGGAGGGAACAGAGACAGUGUUAUCGGGGCUUGCCGAAAAGAUACACGGCAAAGAGAUCCGAUUGACUAGAAGCUUUUCAACAGAGGAUAGUGGGUCCACCGGAUUUUGACAAAGGCUCUG
rnacentral:lncRNA from 1 species